rnacentral:pre_miRNA from 1 species
AGCUGUCUGUAUCCGUGCUGAGGUUUUGUCACACACCAAACCAAAAGGGCUGAUGAGACUCCCAAAGGAAGCGGUU